GACGAACGCUGGCGGCGUGCCUAAUACAUGCAAGUCGAACGCAGUGGGGACGGGUGAGUUACACGUGGGUAACCUCCCAUCAGAGGGGAUAACACUUGGUAACAGGUGCUAAACUGUUACUGGUGGCUGGACCCGCGGUGCAUUGGCUAGUUGGUGAGUGAACGGCUCACCAAGGCCACGAUGCAUAGCCGACCUGAGAGUGUGAUCGGCCACACUGGGACUGAGACACGGCCCAGACUCCUACGGGAGGCAGCGGUAGGGAAUCUUCGGCAAUGGACGAAAGUCUGACCGAGCAACGCAGCGUGAGUGAAGAAGGUUUUCGGAUCGUAAAACUCUGUUGUUAGAGAAGCGGUAUCUAACCAGAAAGCCACGGCUAACUACGUGCCAGCAGCCGCGGUAAUUC
rnacentral:rRNA from 1 species